rnacentral:hammerhead_ribozyme from 2 species
CAGGGUGGUUACCUACAACUGAUGAGCUCCAAGAAGAGCGAAACCUUUUAAGACGAGUCCUGUAGUAUCGGCCUACCAACCU